rnacentral:rRNA from 1 species
GGCCAGACUCCUACGGGAGGCAGCAGUGGGGAAUAUUGCACAAUGGGGGAAACCCUGAUGCAGCGACGCCGCGUGAGUGAAGAAGUAUUUCGGUAUGUAAAGCUCUAUCAGCAGGGAAGAUAAUGACGGUACCUGAGUAAGAAGCCCCGGCUAACUACGUGCCAGCAGCCGCGGUAAUACGUAGGGGGCAAGCGUUAUCCGGAUUUACUGGGUGUAAAGGGAGCGUAGACGGCAUGGCAAGUCUGGAGUGAAAGGCGGGGGCCCAACCCCCGGACUGCUCUGGAAACUGUGUAACUUGAGUGCAGGAGAGGUAAGUGGAAUUCCUAGUGUAGCGGUGAAAUGCGUAGAUAUUAGGAGGAACACCAGUGGCGAAGGCGGCUUACUGGACUGUAACUGACGUUGAGGCUCGAAAGCGUGGGGAGCAAACAGGAUUAGAUACCCCAGUAC